GACGAACGCUGGCGGCGUGCUUAACACAUGCAAGUCGAACGGAAAGGCCCUGCUUUUGUGGGGUGCUCGAGUGGCGAACGGGUGAGUAACACGUGAGUAACCUGCCCUUGACUUUGGGAUAACUUCAGGAAACUGGGGCUAAUACCGGAUAGGAGCUCCUGCUGCAUGGGGGGGGUUGGAAAGUUUCGGCGGUUGGGGAUGGACUCGCGGCUUAUCAGCUUGUUGGUGGGGUAGUGGCUUACCAAGGCUUUGACGGGUAGCCGGCCUGAGAGGGUGACCGGCCACAUUGGGACUGAGAUACGGCCCAGACUCCUCCGGGAGGCAGCAGUGGGGAAUAUUGCACAAUGGGCGGAAGCCUGAUGCAGCACCGCCGCGUGCGGGAUGACGGCCUUCGGGUUGUAAACCGCUUUCGCCUGUGACGAAGCGUGAGUGACGGUAAUGGGUAAAGAAGCACCGGCUACCUCCGU
rnacentral:rRNA from 1 species